rnacentral:miRNA from 1 species
UAUGAAGAGGCCAGUGUUGUAG